rnacentral:rRNA from 1 species
CAAGCAGUGGGAGCCUUCGUAAGAGGGUGACUGCGUACCUUUUGUAUAAUGGGUCAGCGACUUAUAUUCUGUAGCAAGGUUAACCGUAUAGGGGAGCCGAAGGGAAACCGAGUCUUAACCGGGCGUUAAGUUGCAGGGUAUAGACCCGAAACCCGGUGAUCUAGCCAUGGGCAGGUUGAAGGUUGGGUAACACUAACUGGAGGACCGAACCGACUAAUGUUGAAAAAUUAGCGGAUGACCUGUGGCUGGGGGUGAAAGGCCAAUCAAACCGGGAGAUAGCUGGUUCUCCCCGAAAGCUAUUUAGGUAGCGCCUCGUGAACUCAUCUCCGGGGGUAGAGCACUGUUUCGGCUAGGGGGCCAUCCCGGCUUACCAACCCGAUGCAAACUGCGAAUACCGGAGAAUGUUAUCACGGGAGACACACGGCGGGUGCUAACGUCCGUCGUGAAGAGGGAAACAACCCAGACCGCCAGCUAAGGUCCCAAAGUCAUGGUUAAGUGGGAAACGAUGUGGGAAGGCCCAGACAGCCAGGAUGUUGGCUUAGAAGCAGCCAUCAUUUAAAGAAAGCGUAAUAGCUCACUGGUCGAGUCGGCCUGCGCGGAAGAUGUAACGGGGCUAAACCAUGCACCGAAGCUGCGGCAGCGACGCUUAUGCGUUGUUGGGUAGGGGAGCGUUCUGUAAGCCUGCGAAGGUGUGCUGUGAGGCAUGCUGGAGGUAUCAGAAGUGCGAAUGCUGACAUAAGUAACGAUAAAGCGGGUGAAAAGCCCGCUCGCCGGAAGACCAAGGGUUCCUGUCCAACGUUAAUCGGGGCAGGGUGAGUCGACCCCUAAGGCGAGGCCGAAAGGCGUAGUCGAUGGGAAACAGGUUAAUAUUCCUGUACUUGGUGUUACUGCGAAGGGGGGACGGAGAAGGCUAUGUCGGCCGGGCGACGGUUGUCCCGGUUUAAGCGUGUAGGCUGACUUUCCAGGCAAAUCCGGAAAGUUAAGGCUGAGGCGUGAUGACGAGGCACUACGGUGCUGAAGUGACAAAUGCCCUGCUUCCAGGAAAAGCCUCUAAGCAUCAGGUAACAUCAAAUCGUACCCCAAACCGACACAGGUGGUCAGGUAGAGAAUACCAAGGCGCUUGAGAGAACUCGGGUGAAGGAACUAGGCAAAAUGGUGCCGUAACUUCGGGAGAAGGCACGCUGACAUGUAGGUGAAGCCCCUGCGGGUGGAGCUGAAGUCAGUCGAAGAUACCAGCUGGCUGCAACUGUUUAUUAAAAACACAGCACUGUGCAAACACGAAAGUGGACGUAUACGGUGUGACGCCUGCCCGGUGCCGGAAGGUUAAUUGAUGGGGUUAUCGCAAGAGAAGCUCCUGAUCGAAGCCCCGGUAAACGGCGGCCGUAACUAUAACGGUCCUAAGGUAGCGAAAUUCCUUGUCGGGUAAGUUCCGACCUGCACGAAUGGCGUAAUGAUGGCCAGGCUGUCUCCACCCGAGACUCAGUGAAAUUGAACUCGCUGUGAAGAUGCAGUGUACCCGCGGCAAGACGGAAAGACCCCGUGAACCUUUACUACAGCUUGACACUGAACAUUGAGCCUUGAUGUGUAGGAUAGGUGGGAGGCUUUGAAGCGUGGACGCCAGUCUGCGUGGAGCCGACCUUGAAAUACCACCCUUUAAUGUUUGAUGUUCUAACCUGGCGCCGUGAUCCGGCGUGGGGACAGUGUCUGGUGGGUAGUUUGACUGGGGCGGUCUCCUCCCAAAGUGUAACGGAGGAGCACGAAGGUCAGCUAAUCCUGGUCGGACAUCAGGAGGUUAGUGCAAUGGCAUAAGCUGGCUUGACUGCGAGAGUGACGGCUCGAGCAGGUGCGAAAGCAGGUCAUAGUGAUCCGGUGGUUCUGUAUGGAAGGGCCAUCGCUCAACGGAUAAAAGGUACUCCGGGGAUAACAGGCUGAUACCGCCCAAGAGUUCAUAUCGACGGCGGUGUUUGGCACCUCGAUGUCGGCUCAUCACAUCCUGGGGCUGAAGUAGGUCCCAAGGGUAUGGCUGUUCGCCAUUUAAAGUGGUACGCGAGCUGGGUUUAGAACGUCGUGAGACAGUUCGGUCCCUAUCUGCCGUGGGCGCUGGAGAAUUGAGGGGGGCUGCUCCCAGUACGAGAGGACCGGAG